GGCCCGUUAGCUCAGUUGGUUAGAGCGCUGAACUAUUCGCAAAACCAGAGGUCGUAGGUUCGAAUCCUACAUGGGCCC